rnacentral:lncRNA from 1 species
CCACAUAUCAACAAUUUGAUCAACCUUGUGAGAACCCACUUUGAAUACAAAUCCAAACUAUAUCUUAGAGAAAUUCUCAAUUUAUAUAAUGUAGAGAAUAAAAAACCAAUGUGAAUCCACACUCAAAUUGAAAGAAUAGCUUCCCUUCCAAUUAUUUUUCUUUCUUCCGGGCAAUCUCAGUUUUUCCUCUUCUUCACGCACAGCAACAAUAUUUCUCUUCUUCAAUUGUAGCUGCCGUUUUUUACUUUUCUAAUGGUAGCCUACUGUUUUUCUUUCACACAAUUGAAAGCCUUUGUCUUUCUUUGCAGUAAACAAUUUCUGUUAAUUCUCAACAGGAAGCCACCGUUGUUGACCUUUUAAUUUUGUCUCACAAUUCU